UACAGAGGUCUCAAGCGUUGUUCGGAUUCAUUGGGCGUAAAGGGUGCGUAGGUGGCGCGUAAGUCAGGUGUGAAAUUUCGGAGCUUAACUCCGAAACUGCAUUUGAUACUGGCGUGCUUGAGGACUGGAGAGGAGACUGGAAUUCAUGGUGUAGCAGUGAAAUGCGUAGAGAUCAUGAGGAAGACCAGUGGCGAAGGCGG
rnacentral:rRNA from 1 species